UCGGGAAUUUUGGGCAAUGGGGGAAACCCUGACCCAGCAACGCCGCGUGAAGGAUGAAGUAUUUCGAUAUGUAAACUUCGAAAGAAUAGGAAGAAUAAAUGACGGUACUAUUUAUAAGGUCCGGCUAACUACGUGCCAGCAGCCGCGGUAAUACGUAGGGACCAAGCGUUGUUCGGAUUUACUGGGCGUAAAGGGCGCGUAGGCGGCAUGACAAGUCACUUGUGAAAUCUCUGGGCUUAACCCAGAACGGCCAAGUGAUACUGUCGCGCUAGAGUGCAGAAGGGGCAAUCGGAAUUCUUGGUGUAGCGGUGAAAUGCGUAGAUAUCAAGAGGAACACCUGAGGUGAAGACGGGUUGCUGGGCUGACACUGACGCUGAGGCGCGAAAGCCAGGGGAGCAAACGGGAUUAGAUACCCGGGUAGUCC
rnacentral:rRNA from 1 species